UGGGGUGUCGUCCAACGGCAGGACACGCGACUCUGGAUCGUGGAAUCGGGGUUCGAAUCCCUGCACCCCAGCAA
rnacentral:tRNA from 1 species